rnacentral:rRNA from 1 species
GUUCGAUCAUGGCUCAGAUUGAACGCUGGCGGGAUGCUUUACAUGCAAGUCGAACGGCGGCACGGACUUCGGUCUGGUGGCGAGUGGCGAACGGGUGAGUAAUGUAUCGGAACGUGCUAGUAGCGGGGGAUAACUACGCAGAAAGCGUAGCUAAUACCGCAUACGCCCUUCGGGGGAAAGCGGGGGGACCUUCGGGCCUCGCACUAUUAGAGCGGCCGAUAUCCAGUUAGCUAGUUGGUGGGGUAACGGCUCACCAAGGCGACGAUCCGUAGUAGCUGGUUUGAGAGGACGACCAGCCACACUGGGACUGAGACACGGCCCAGACUCCUGCAGGAGGCAGCGAUUAGAAAUUUGGACAAUGGGAAACCUGAUCCAGCCAUCCCGCGUGUGCGAUGAAGGCCUUCCGGGUUGUAAAGCACUUUUGGCAGGAAAGAAACGGCACGGGAUAAUACCCCGUGCAACUGACGUACCUGCAGAAUGGCACCGGCUAACUACGUGCCAGCAGCCGCGGUAGCCGUAGGUGCAAGCGUUAAAUCGGAAUUACUGGGCGUAAAGCGUGCGCAGGCGGUUCGGAAAAGAAGAUGUGAAAUCCCAGAGCAACUUUGGAACUGCAUUUUUAACUACCGAGCUAGAGUGUGUCAGAGGGAGGUGGAAUUCCGCGUGUAGCAGUGAAAUGCGUAGAUGUCUACGAGGAGGAACACCGAUGGCGAAGGCAGCCUCCUGGGAUAACACUGACGCUCAUGCGACGUGGGGAGCAAACGGGAUUGGGCUCACCUGGUAGUCCACGCCCUAAACGAUGUCAACUAGCUGUUGGGGCCUUCGGGCCUUGGUAGCGCAACUAACUGGCGGUGAAGUUGACCGCCUGGGGAGUACGGUCGCAAGAUUAAAACUCAAAGGAAUUGACGGGGACCCGCACAAGCGGUGGAUGAUGUGGAUUAAUUCGAUGCAACGCGAAAACCUUACCUUUGACAUGUCUGGAAUCCCGAAGAGAUUUGGGGAGUGCUCGCAAGAGAACGGAACACAGGUGCUGCAUGGCUGUCGUCAGCUCGUGUCGUGAGAUGUUGGGUUAAGUCCCGCAACGAGCGCAACCCUUGUCAUUGAUUAUACGAAAGAGCACUCAGCAGAACUACCGCCGGUGACAAACCGAGGAGGAAGGUGGGGACGUCAAGUCCUCAUGGCCCGCACCCCUUGGGUAGGGCUUCACACGUCAUACAAUGGUCGGGACAGAGGGUCGCCAACCCGCGAGGGGGAGCCAAUCAGAAACCCGAUCGUAGUCCGGAUCGCAGUCUGCAACUCGACUGCGUGAAGUCGGAAUCGCUAGUAUCGGAUCAGCGCCAUCAUGUCGCGUCGUUCCCGGUCUUGUACACCGCCCGUCACACCAUGGGAGUGGGGUUUACCGGAAGUAGUUAGCCUAACCGUAAGGAGGGCGAUUACGGUAGGAUUCAUGACUGGGGUGAAGUCGUAACAAGGUAG